rnacentral:rRNA from 1 species
AUUUACAUUAUUUUUAUGUUGUGACCUCUGAGCUCCAGAUUGGGACAGAGGGAAUCAGCAUAAUUUUUUGUGGUGCAUUUACUUGAUUGGUGCUUGGGGAUGUUUGAGGCAGAUUUGUUUCCGUCGUUUUGAGGCCAGCUUGCUGGUACCCAAACGGUGUUAGCAUUUUUUGUCUUGGGCAUUUGAGUAUGGCUCACGGGUAUUUAUUGGACAGAUCUGAGUGUAAGUUACGGUCGCAUGCGACACGUGCUUUUCAAUUAGUUCGGUCCAGUUAAUGCUCUCGUACUCGUUCCCCAUGUAAAAGCCGGUCAUCUAUCCGACCCGUCUUGAAACACGGACCAAGGAGUUUAUCGUGUGCGCAAGUUUUUGGGUGUUAAAAACUUAAAAGCGAAAUGAAAGUAAAUGACUCUUUAGAGUCUGAUGUGCGAUCUUGUAAAAAAGUGUAGCAUGGCCCCAUUCUAACUGUUUACAGUAGGGUGGCGGAAGAGCGUACGCGGUGAGACCCGAAAGAUGGUGAACUAUUCCUGAGCAGGACGAAGCCAGAGGAAACUCUGGUGGAAGUCCGAAGCGGUUCUGACGUGCAAAUCGAUCGU